GGUGAGUUCGUAUAGUGGUAAUACAAUCGGCUGAUAACCGAUAAACAGGAGUUCAAUUCUCUUACUCACCA
rnacentral:tRNA from 1 species